rnacentral:rRNA from 1 species
GAUGAACGCUAGCGGCAGGCUUAAUACAUGCAAGUCGAGGGGCAGCACAGGUAGCAAUACUGGGUGGCGACCGGCAAACGGGUGCGGAACACGUACACAACUUACCUUCUGGUGGGGGAUAGCCUUUGGAAACGGAGAUUAAUACCCCAUAUUAUAUAUGAGCUGCAUGGUUUGUAUAUUAAAGAUUUAUUGCCGGAAGAUGGGUGUGCGUAUGAUUAGGUAGUUGGCGGGGUAACGGCCCACCAAGCCGACGAUCAUUAACUGGUGUGAGAGCACGACCAGUCACACGGGCACUGAGACACGGGCCCGACUCCUACGGGAGGCAGCAGUAAGGAAUAUUGGUCAAUGGACGGAAGUCUGAACCAGCCAUGCCGCGUGGAGGAUGAAGGUCCUCUGGAUUGUAAACUUCUUUUAUAGGGGGCGAAAAAAGGGAAUUCUUUCUCGUCUGACGGUACCCUAUGAAUAAGCACCGGCUAACUCCGUGCCAGCCGCCGCAGUAACAC